AGAUCACCUGCCAAAAUUGUGCGCACGUCACCAGAAACUGUUGUCACGCCUACCUGGUUGGCUCCUCUUCUCUGUCAAUCACAUUAUAAGCGCUGCUGAUUGGUUCAGUUACCUGCUCAGGUUUAUAUGCACACUUGUACCGUUUGUCCAGUAUUGCGAUAAGGGCGAAAAUAAGGAAGUGUGUUCAGAACCGAAGCAAAUUACUGGAUGAAAAGAGUCUGGGGGGCUGUGCAGUGCAGACACAGAAACCUACAUCUACAUGCAGGCCAAUAAGACGAGAAGAUAAAAGUCCAAGCUGGCUUCAGUAGUUUCGUACGGCCAGGGAGAGAGGCUGCAAUGAAAAGCGUUACACUAACGGGUUCACUGAGGAAAUGGAACUGAUGGUCACACAGAUUUAUGGAGGCAGACAUCCAAACCUUGAUUGGACCUCCAGGAGAGACGAGUGUGGCCACUGGGACGUGCACAUUUAUGGACUUAAAGCAGAUGAAAAUUGGCCAGUGCGACAGUCGAGUCCGGGAUGAGUGACGUCAGCCAGGUCUCCGUGAACAGCAGGACGCUGCUCGUUCUGUACUCCGGCUGGUACCGUGUGAGCGCCGCGAGCUCGUCGAUCUUGUUGGGGAGACCUCUCAGCAAGCCUCUAGUGGGACGGGUUCAUCCUCUGUGCUGAGACUUAGUUAUGAUAUGCCACAGCAACGUCAGCCCCAAGUAUCGGCUGAGGUGGAGUCAACUUUAGCAGCAGUGAUGCAGCAUCAUAAUGCACAGUACAUCUAACCUAAGCCAUGCAGAUGUUGGAUUAUUUGUUGCACAUGCAGCCCAUCUCCAGUCAGUCUGUGAAGAUGUCAUGGUCAGUUCUUUACAGUACCAAGAUCAUAAGGCGCAUAAACCAACCUCGUGUUAAGCCAACACCUCCGUCUCCUGCAGAGGAGCUCCGCAAUGGGGAAAUCCACAGGUCAGCGAGCAAGCAAAAGGUCAGUCCCCGCCAUCAUGUUGUGAAGACUUACUUUGGAACAUUUAAGAUGCUGCGUGUGUCCUUUCUCUUCUUCCACAGACUGCGCCCUACAGAACCUUGCAGCGCAGAUGAAGGCACUCCCUAAAGUUGUGGGCUGUGAGCUGCCACCUACUCGGGAUAGACGGACGUGGAUCUACUCUGCAGCUUGCAUUAUUACACGCCAAGUGUGUGUUUCACUGUUUGAUAAUGGAAGGGAACAAACUCAAUACUUGGUGGAGAAAACAUUGGCUGCAAUACAUCUGAAUCUGAACUGUGAUAAAGAAAAAUAACGUGACAGCGGAUGAAGUUUGUUCCCGAGAACAUGAAAAAAAAAACAGUUGUGAUACUGAUGUUGGUAAUAACAUGAGAUGUAUUCAUUAGGUAAUACUACAGAAAAUGUCUUAAUACCAAUAUGUUUCUUCAUAGUGUGAAUUUGAGGUUUGACCUGGAGUUUUGACAUGCUGCAUUUUUUCACGCAGUCACUUUGGUUUUGACAUUAAUUUUGUCGAUUUGAUUCUGCUUCAAACAAAAGCUCUAAGAUUUGACCAAGAAUGGAUUUAAGGUUUAUUGAAGACAUUUACACAGACACGUCUACUGAAGAAGUGGCAUAACUGUACUGUGGCUAAAUGUACAAUAGUACCAGUAGUUCCACUCCUCUAUUGUCGCUUUGACUUGUCUGUAGUUACAUUUCAAGUUUUUAUACAACAUUUGUUCUUCUUUAAAUGUUCUUUGUUUUUCUGGAAGUCCUGAUGAGAUUUGUACAAGCAGACUUGAAGCUACAAUACAACGUCUUAACUUACGGAAGCCAACCGUGUGGCUCUUAGCCUCCUCCUACUACUUCGUUAUUGAGUGUGCUCGCUUUCUCCGUCACCUCCUGGUUUGAGUCCAUUAGCCUGCAAAGAAAGAAAUCUGUCGGGACCCCUCACAUCCUAAGUCCCAUGUUCCAGUGGCUCCCAUCAGGACACAGACUCCCUGAUGCAGGACCCAAAUAGGAGAAACACUGUAAUCCCAGCAGUAGUUAUCCAUCAGAAUGCUGUCCUGUACAAUGACGCUUUUAAUUGAUCUUAAUAGUAAUAUAAUAAUUUUCCUGGAUGCUUUACCUUAAUUGGCCUUCAGGGAUAAAUAAUAGAGUUAAAGUGUUUCAAAUUGAAUUGAUCAAUACAUUAUAAAUACCAGAAAUACUUAUGUACACAUUAUUCAAAGAAAUAAAUUAAAAACAAAUCUAUGUUGUGAAGUUCACGUCUGAAAAUAUGUCAGUUGUAUAAAAAACAUUUUGCCGUUUCCGCUCACGCACGUCAGCGCGUGCGUCAGUCAGUGUUAUGGUAACAACAGACGCUUGGCCCGACCGAGUCUAUAUAAGGCGCACAGUCACGGGGGUUCCCCUUUUGCAGUUGGACGCUGACGUUUAGAGACGCAAGCAACGACAGAUGGGUAGUGAAUUCCGUGUAAAUUUUAAUGUUUAUCACCUAAAUGGCCUAAAUUGUUUGGAAUGAAUAAAGGAUAUAUGUACGAUACAUCUAUUGUAUGUGUAUUUAUGUGUUUAUUGACAACGUAACUUGUCAUUUUGGUCAAAGUUUAAAAAUAUUCCUAUUUUUAAAAUGGCGACUGCACCGACUGUAAACUUCCGCAGCGCUCCAGCCCUUUUCGGUAGCUGCAGCCUUAAAUAUUAUCGCCUAAGGUUAUUUAUUUUAGUUCAAUCUAAAUCUACCGUAUAGACACAUGGCCAUUGUUGGACUUCGCUAACGGAUCAUUCUGUUGCCAUUAAAGUCUCGGGAGUGGAGCAGUGGUUAGCGCCGCAAGCUAAGUAGCGCCCCUGCCAUGAUGCUAUCUGUUUCCGCUCACGCACGUCAGCGCGUGCGUCAGUCAAUGUCAUGGUAACAACAAACGCUUGGCCCGACCGAGUCUAUAUAAGGCGCACAGUCACGGGGGUUCCCCUUUUGCAGUUGGACGCUGACGUUUAGAGACGCAAGCAACGACAGAUGGGUAGUGAAUUCCUUGUAAAUUUUAAUAUUUAUCACUUAAAUGGCCCAUGUUGUUUGGAAUAAAUAAAGGAUAUAUGUACGAUA